UGAGCCAAGUUUAGGGUUUUCUCAAAACCCAAGCAGUAUUGAACUGAAGAGUUUGAUCAUGGCUCAGAUUGAACGCUGGCGGCAGGCCUAACACAUGCAAGUCGAGCGGAUGAAGGGAGCUUGCUCCUGGAUUCAGCGGCGGACGGGUGAGUAAUGCCUAGG
rnacentral:rRNA from 1 species